UCGGUGUCUGCGGUAACAUGCCUUACCUC
rnacentral:sRNA from 1 species